GCAACACAAACCGUGAAUCUCUUCCAGACCCACAGUCCGCUGCUGCUAAGAAUGAGAGGAAGGGGAUAAUCGAGAGGAAAAAGGGUGGAGGCUGAGAAUACACUGGACAUACUGGUGGUGCUUAAGUGUACCUGCACCCAGCAUGCAUCACAUGAUUGGAAUUCAAUGCCUGCUCUUGCCCCUCUCAUCAAAGUCCUCAAUGCAUUUAGUGAUGAUUAAUGGAUUAUACACCAGGCCUGCUUGUGCUACCCACUGAGAGGAGCAGCACUUACAAGGGGGAGGGUGGCUUGAUGGUCUUAGCUCUGAAAACUGACUGCUGACAUUGAUUCUCAGAAUAAGGCAACUUUUCUCCAGCUCCUCCUUGCUAAUUUCUCUCUUCACUGUUUUACCACAAGAAGCUUGACAACGGCAUGCCACACCACACAGGAGCACCAGCAGCAGUGGGGAAUAAAACAGCAUAGCAGGAGAGAAUAGUGCUGCACUUGCAUUUUCUGAUUCGUAAUUUCACUCUCUCUCUCUGUGCUGCACUCGGCACUUGCUGAUAAUUUGUAGGAUUGAGAUGCAACAACUUUGCCCACCCAGGCAAAGGCACUGUGGGAGCGGCCAGAGAGAGAAACAGGAGGGAGCGGUCAUCAGGAAAGUUAACAUCAACAUCACCCCCUAGGCGACGUCCACUUACAAUAGGUGGUAAUGAACGGUGAACCUGUGAAACAAGAAAGGUAGAGAGUCACCUUGCAUCAGGAUCGCAGGGAUGGCAGUCACUCUGAAGACUUAAAAGAUGCAUGGAGUGUGAUUUAAAUCAAAAUAUGGCUAGGCUGAAGGGUCAUUUGGUUUUCACUGCUUAGCUAAAUGGCUGUCUGGCAUUAUACAUUAGUUUUAGUGUUAUCUACCAUGUAGACAUUUGAUUGUAGCAUUUGUAAUGUCAUGAGAAACCUGUGACCACAUCUGGUAGCCCCUUCUAUCCUUGAGAUGAGCUGACACACACUACCACCACCCAGGAUGUAUCAGAAGAAGAUCUAUCAUCUAAUUCUGAAGAAGUCCAAUCAAGGACUGGUCGUCUUCUACCGUGAGUUUUUUCUAUCCAGGCAUGCUUUUACUGCGUUGGCAGUUUGUUUGGGAUCAUUCCCCAUGAAAAAAUUAGGUCAGUUGACAGUUAGUUCAUUUCAGAUAGUAUUGCAUGGUGGAUUAAAAUCUGAUUGUACUAUUCUGUGUUCAUAAUUCCAUCAAUUUUGACCUCCUUCGUGCAUGACGAUGACUUGAACAAAAAAUUUAGAAUUUGGAUUCAUCACUCCAUAAGACCUGCUGUCUGAGAUUUUCAGUCAAGUUCUUGUGUAAUUUGGCACACCUCAGCUUUUUCUCCACACUUGGUUUCUUGAGAGCUACCACCAUCCACUGAGACCUCUGAGGUCCAGGAUUCAGAUGAGGCUUCGGUGAACAGUAGAUGGAUCAACCAAUGGGGAAGAUCAACCUCUCCUAUGUCCUUUGUCAGUUUUGUUUGAUUGUUUUGUUUUUCUUAAGGACGUGACUUUAAGACAUAGUUCAUCUGCUGUAGAUAAUUUUUAGGCCUGGCACUUUUUCUUUGUCCUUCUAGUUCCCUGGACCCUGCUGAGAUAUGCCGAGUUUUCAGCUAAUGGCUGUCUGGGACAAAACAAAAAUCUAUUUUAUGCCCAGCAAAGUGUUAUCUUUGGCAUUUCUCAUAUAUUCAGCUCAAGAAAUGGGAACAAAUCACACCAUAGGGCGACCAGCAUUUUUAUUCCGCAUCUAUGCUUACAAAUAACAGUAGAUUGCUGUACAAAAUGUGCUGCAAGAAUUUGCUCAAAUGUUUGAAUAUGUUUGCCAUAUAAAUAUACUCACAAUGUUGUAGUCCCAGAAGGAAAAAUCCUAAUAUAGUAGAACAGCUCACACCUCCACUGCACUAGAAAUAUUUUCUUCUUUUUGUGGCAUCUAGCCAAACACCAUCACCUUUAUCCCAUCAUCCAGACAUACAUGCUUUGGCUUGAUUAGGUGGGGAUGCACAUAAUCAAAUUGAGAGGACGAGCUGGUUAUUUUUUCUAUAAUGCAAUAAAAGCUUUACCACUGUGCACCAAUAAAUCCUCUCCUCAA